GACGAACGCUGGCGGCGUGCUUAACACAUGCAAGUCGAACGAUGAAGCCUAGCUUGCUAGGUGGAUUAGUGGCGAACGGGUGAGUAAUACGUGAGUAACCUACCUUUAACUCUGGGAUAAGCCUGGUAAACUGGGUCUAAUACCGGAUACGACCAAUCUCCGCAUGGGGUGUUGGUGGAAAGCGUUAUGUAGUGGUUAUAGAUGGGCUCACGGCCUACCAGCUUGUUGGUGAGGUAACGGCUCACCAAGGCGACGACGGGUAGCCGGCCUGAGAGGGUGACCGGCCACACUGGGACUGAGACACGGCCCGGACUCCUACGGGAGGCAGCAGUGGGGAAUAUUGCACAAUGGGCGCAAGCCUGAUGCAGCGACGCCGCGUGAGGGAUGACGGCCUUCGGGUUGUAAACCUCUGUUAGCAGGGAAGAAGAGAGAUUGACGGUACCUGCAGAGAAAGCGCCGGCUAACUACGUG
rnacentral:rRNA from 1 species